rnacentral:rRNA from 1 species
CCUACGGGAGGCAGCAGUGGGGGAUAUUGCACAAUGGGGGAAACCCUGAUGCAGCGACGCCGCGUGUGGGAAGACGGUCCUCUGGAUUGUAAACCACUGUCCCCAGGGACGAAGAUGACGGUACCUGGGGAGGAAGCUCCGGCUAACUACGUGCCAGCAGCCGCGGUAAUACGUAGGGAGCGAGCGGUGUCCGGAAUUACUGGGGGAAAAGGGAGCGUAGGCGGGACUGCAAGUUGGGUGUCAAAUCUACCGGCUCAACCGGUAGCCGCACUCAAAACUGCAGUUCUUGAGUGAAGGAGAGGCAGGCGGAAUUCCUAGUGUAGCGGUGAAAUGCGUAGAUAUUAGGAGGAACACCAGUGGCGAAGGCGGCCUGCUGGGCUUUUACUGACGCUGAGGCUCGAAAGUGUGGGGAGCAAACAGGAUUAGAUACCCCGGUAGUC